GGUUAAGCGACUAAGCGUACACGGUGGAUGCCCUGGCAGUCAGAGGCGAUGAAGGACGUGCUAAUCUGCGAAAAGCGUCGGUAAGGUGAUAUGAACCGUUACAGCCGGCGAUGUCCGAAUGGGGAAACCCAGUGCAAUUCGUUGCACUAUCGUUUGAUGAAUACAUAGUCAAACGAGGCGAACCGGGGGAACUGAAACAUCUAAGUACCCCGAGGAAAAGAAAUCAACCGAGAUUCCCCCAGUAGCGGCGAGCGAACGGGGAGCAGCCCGGAGUCUGAAUCAGCUUGUGUGUUAGUGGAAGCGUCUGGAAAGUCGCAGGGUACAGGGUGAUACUCCCGUACACUAAAACACACAGGUUGUGAACUCGAAGAGUAGGGCGGGACACGUGGUAUCCUGUCUGAAUAUGGGGGGACCAUCCUCCAAGGCUAAAUACUCCUGACUGACCGAUAGUGAACCAGUACCGUGAGGGAAAGGCGAAAAGAACCCCGGCGAGGGGAGUGAAAAAGAACCUGAAACCGUGUACGUACAAGCAGUAGGAGCCCACUUGUUGGGUGACUGCGUACCUUUUGUAUAAUGGGUCAGCGACUUAUAUUCUGUAGCAAGGUUAACCGUAUAGGGGAGCCGCAGGGAAACCGAGUCUUAACUGGGCGUUAAGUUGCAGGGUAUAGACCCGAAACCCGGUGAUCUAGCCAUGGGCAGGUUGAAGGUUGGGUAACACUAACUGGAGGACCGAACCGACUAAUGUUGAAAAAUUAGCGGAUGACUUGUGGCUGGGGGUGAAAGGCCAAUCAAACCGGGAGAUAGCUGGUUCUCCCCGAAAGCUAUUUAGGUAGCGCCUCGUGAAUUCAUCUUCGGGGGUAGAGCACUGUUUCGGCUAGGGGGUCAUCCCGACUUACCAACCCGAUGCAAACUACGAAUACCGAAGAAUGUUAUCACGGGAGACACACGGCGGGUGCUAACGUCCGUCGUGAAGAGGGAAACAACCCAGACCGCCAGCUAAGGUCCCAAAGUCAUGGUUAAGUGGGAAACGAUGUGGGAAGGCCCAGACAGCCAGGAUGUUGGCUUAGAAGCAGCCAUCAUUUAAAGAAAGCGUAAUAGCUCACUGGUCGAGUCGGCCUGCGCGGAAGAUGUAACGGGGCUAAACCAUGCACCGAAGCUGCGGCAGCGACGCUUAUGCGUUGUUGGGUAGGGGAGCGUUCUGUAAGCCGUUGAAGGUGGCCUGUGAGGGUUGCUGGAGGUAUCAGAAGUGCGAAUGCUGACAUAAGUAACGAUAAUGCGGGUGAAAAACCCGCACGCCGGAAGACCAAGGGUUCCUGUCCAACGUUAAUCGGGGCAGGGUGAGUCGACCCCUAAGGCGAGGCCGAAAGGCGUAGUCGAUGGGAAACAGGUUAAUAUUCCUGUACUUGGUGUUACUGCGAAGGGGGGACGGAGAAGGCUAUGUUGGCCGGGCGACGGUUGUCCCGGUUUAAGCAUGUAGGCGGAUGUUCCAGGUAAAUCCGGAACGUUAUUAACGCUGAGGUGUGAUGACGAGGCACUACGGUGCUGAAGUGACAAAUGCCCUGCUUCCAGGAAAAGCCUCUAAGCAUCAGGUAACAUCAAAUCGUACCCCAAACCGACACAGGUGGUCAGGUAGAGAAUACCAAGGCGCUUGAGAGAACUCGGGUGAAGGAACUAGGCAAAAUGGUGCCGUAACUUCGGGAGAAGGCACGCUGAUAUGUAGGUGAAGUGAUUUACUCAUGGAGCUGAAAUCAGUCGAAGAUACCAGCUGGCUGCAACUGUUUAUUAAAAACACAGCACUGUGCAAACACGAAAGUGGACGUAUACGGUGUGACGCCUGCCCGGUGCCGGAAGGUUAAUUGAUGGGGUUAUCCGUAAGGAGAAGCUCUUGAUCGAAGCCCCGGUAAACGGCGGCCGUAACUAUAACGGUCCUAAGGUAGCGAAAUUCCUUGUCGGGUAAGUUCCGACCUGCACGAAUGGCGUAAUGAUGGCCAGGCUGUCUCCACCCGAGACUCAGUGAAAUUGAACUCGCUGUGAAGAUGCAGUGUACCCGCGGCAAGACGGAAAGACCCCGUGAACCUUUACUAUAGCUUGACACUGAACACUGGUCCUUGAUGUGUAGGAUAGGUGGGAGGCUUUGAAGUGUGGACGCCAGUCUGCAUGGAGCCAUCCUUGAAAUACCACCCUUUAAUGGCUGGUGUUCUAACGUGGGCCCGUAAUCCGGGUUGCGGACAGUGUCUGGUGGGUAGUUUGACUGGGGCGGUCUCCUCCUAAAGAGUAACGGAGGAGCACGAAGGUCAGCUAAUCCUGGUCGGACAUCAGGAGGUUAGUGCAAUGGCAUAAGCUGGCUUGACUGCGAGCGUGACGGCGCGAGCAGGUGCGAAAGCAGGUCAUAGUGAUCCGGUGGUUCUGAAUGGAAGGGCCAUCGCUCAACGGAUAAAAGGUACUCCGGGGAUAACAGGCUGAUACCGCCCAAGAGUUCAUAUCGACGGCGGUGUUUGGCACCUCGAUGUCGGCUCAUCACAUCCUGGGGCUGAAGUAGGUCCCAAGGGUAUGGCUGUUCGCCAUUUAAAGUGGUACGCGAGCUGGGUUUAGAACGUCGUGAGACAGUUCGGUCCCUAUCUGCCGUGGGCGCUGGAGAAUUGAGGGGGGCUGCUCCUAGUACGAGAGGACCGGAGUGGACGCAUCACUGGUGUUCGGGUUGUCAUGCCAAUGGCAUUGCCCGGUAGCUAAAUGCGGAAGAGAUAAGUGCUGAAAGCAUCUAAGUACGAAACUUGCCCCGAGAUGAGUUCUCCCUGACUCCUUGAGAGUCCUGAAGGAACGUUGAAGACGACGACGUUGAUAGGCCGGGUGUGUAAGCGCAGCGAUGCGUUGAGCUAACCGGUACUAAUGAACCGUGAGGCUUAACCUU
rnacentral:rRNA from 1 species